AGUGAGCGCUGGCGGUAGGCCUAACACAUGCAAGUCGAACGGCAGCACAGUAAUAGCUUGCUCUUACGGGUGGCGAGUGGCGGACGGGUGAGGAAUACAUCGGAAUCUACUUUUUCGUGGGGGCUAACGUAGGGAAACUUACGCUAAUACCGCAUACGACCUACGGGUGAAAGCAGGGGAUCUUCUGACCUUGCGCGAUUGAAUGAGCCGAUGUCGGAUUAGCUAGUUGGCGGGGUAAAGGCGCACCAAGGCGACGAUCCGUAGCUGGUCUGAGAGGAUGAUCAGCCACACUGGAACUGAGACACGGUACAGACUCCUACGGGAGGCAGCAGUGGGGAAUAUUGGACAAUGGGCGCAAGCCUGAUCCAGCCAUACCGCGUGGGUGAAGAAGGCCUUCGGGUUGUAAAGCCCUGUUGUUGGGAAAGAAAAGCAGCAGGUUAAUACCCCGCGGUUCUGACGGUACCCAAAGAAUAAGCACCGGCUAACUUCGUG
rnacentral:rRNA from 1 species